rnacentral:lncRNA from 1 species
GCAGGGGUCAUUAGCGGGAGGAAAUCGGACCCGGGAGGGAAUCUGGGGAGGGAAUCGGGUGCCGCCCGUUUGGCGAUUAAGAGUCGCAAUGCGUCUGAGAGCAUUGUUAAAGCUGUCUUUAUGAACGUAUGCAUGUUUGUAAAACUUGUUUGACUGUAACUGAGUGUAAGAAGAUACGUGUCUCUUGUCCGAAAAUUAUUCAGAAGACUAAGGCUGGAAAAUUAAAUGUUUACGAGGGGGCGCUGCCCCCUGACCGCUACGCAGCCCAACCCCCGGGAGGGCGCCUCGCGCCCUCAGGCCCGCUUUGCGGGCCCUAUACGCAUAUGUAUAGGCAUAAAUGUUCUUCCAUUUUAAUACACCAUUUUGUGUUCGAGCUGCAUCGAUUUCAAAAUUUUUGACGUAACACUCAGAUUUGUAAAUGAUGAGGAAUAGCUGGAUGUACAUAAUUUCACAGUCCACUUACUGGAGAAUUUUCCAUUUAUUAUGUUAUUUUUACUUACCUAUUUUAAAAAAAAAAUUGGUUUUCGACCGUUAAGAGUUAAUAUUUGGUCCAUCCCGACGCGACGCAGCGCCUGCCUUCUCACUUUGUAUCUGCUGUUAAUCUGCUGUAGAAUCCCACACCUUGACGUUUCUAGCGGAAACGACAUAUCUCUCACGCUAUUAACAUUGGACUUAAGUGACAUGAGCUUUAAAAGCUCUACAACAUUAAAAGUUCGGGGUUUCAUAAUUUUUUGCACAUCUACAUCUACUACAGGUGACAUCCAUGUAAAGAUCAUCCUUAUCAGUCCGGCAGUUCGUCAGAAAUAGUGCCUCCAAGAUUUUGCUUGUAGCUGUAUAAUAUAGAUAUUGGCAACUAUGGCUGUUUAGGUGACUGACCGAGAGGCAAAAAUUCAAUCUCUGCAUAAAUAAGUUUAAAAACCUUCCUCUCGGCUCGAAUAAAAAGUAACUUUCCACCCAAGUGAUUUCAGAAAAAUAUUGUGCUUGACUUGUUGAGGUGGUGGAACGAUUCGUGUGAAGAUGAAACCUACUGCACCUAGCGUUAAAGAGCUAUUUUUUCUGGCUCCUGUAUAAAAUCUACGGGAUCGACCGCCAUUACGAUGCCAUUAUUGGGAUUGAAUUAUGGAGACUUGAGCGAAGUCUCACUUAAGAAAACAACGAGUUAUGAGUAGUUUCGAGCUUCACUAUUUUCCACUUUUCGUUUGGAAAACUCAAAGAAGGGUGGGCGAUAAUGUGAAGAUAGGCAUCAAACUUGCUCUAAAAGUUAGUUUUUUCAAGGAAUAAAACUUAAAACCUCUCCUACUCAGGUCAAUCUUUGAUGUGGCUUGAUUCCUCUCGGUUCAGCUUGAUCUAAU